rnacentral:sRNA from 1 species
AUAAUCUAGUAAACCUACAUAAACUAUUCAAAAAAUAAAACUCAAUUUGGAAGAACAAAGCACAAAUUCCAGUGUCUGAAUGUAAUUUGUUGGCCAAUACCUUGAAUCAAAAAUUGUAACAUUCAUUGCAAUGGAAAAUACCUAAAACCACUCAGCGUCAAAGUUGGUAGAACUAUCGAAUCCAACUAUUGGUAACAAUUACAUCAUUUCAUAGACAGAACGAAAUUGAACAAGCUCUUUUUGGACGGGGGAAUGAUGGCUCCUGGGGACGCUGCUCUUGUGCCCAAAACUCGCUGGAACAAUUAGCUCAAAAGGUUGGGGGUUUUUGGGGCUCGGAAUGAUUCAAAGAGCGCGUCGUCGACAACUGAAGCCCUAUGAAAAAGUUUCAGUUUUUGCGCAAACAAAUUGGAUUAUUCGAUUACGUGUUUGUACAAGCGCAUUGUGCGACCAAGGGGAAGGCGGGCCGACCGGGGUGGAGUGCUGGAAAAUCAGUAAUGCUGUAAAUUGCAUUUCCCUUCAGGGGUUAGACAAUAUCCCCGGGGUUUCAGAAAAAUAGACGGAUGGCGUUUGAUGGAGAGGUGGAGCAGGAAAAUCUGUCAAUUUUAUGGGGAAAGCGCAGCGUUAAAUGCAUAAGCGGAAGUCAAAGUAUUUUUUGUUUUGAUAGAUGAGACUUGGAGGAAGUUAAGGAUGGCAUUUCUGACGGAAGUCCAGGAUUAAGUAAUCUCCAAGGUGGGAAAAUUUCAUCUAUCAAACGCCGGGAAAAAAUGGGUCAUUGGAAAAAGAAUCCCCUAAAGUCGAUUCAGAGGUUUUUUGCGCAAAAAAAUAUGAAUAAGAACAAUUGACCGACCUAAUCUCAGCUGCCUCUGAAAUACUUACUUGGAAACUUUUAAAAUCGUAUCAUAAAAAUAAUAUAUGACUAAGACAUGUAUGACAGCCAAAUCUCUGCCAAAUUCCGUGUGUAAAAUCAGUAGAACAUAUUGAACCUUGGAAGGAAGGACUGCUCCUUUUCCCCCACUGAGUCAAGAUGAGCAAGGAGCAAGUGGCAAAAAGUGAGGAGAUGCACGUGCCAAAAGUCUCAAGUUUAGCUGUUGCUGUGGCUACUCGCAAAAAAUUUGCUCCGGGCGCUUUUAGCAAAAGUGUAACGAAGGACGGGGGACUGCGACUGGCAGGAAGGGCAUGAAGGACGAGGUGGCAGCCGGAAAAUUGAGGAAAAACUGAGACUGGGUUGGGAUGAGCACACAGAGAUGACGACAGCUUGGGCUUGUCAUGGCAGAACGCGACGUGAGCGGUGGCUUGGCCUUUGGCAAUUUUCUUAUUGCAUGCAUGUGGCAGCUAAAAAAAUACUGGCCAGGAACAAAACGUAGAGGGCAAAAAGGAUUGGGCCGGUAACGACAAAUAGUGUUGCAUAUUUAUGUGCGCAUCCACACAAAACAGGACUUUUGUAAUUAAAACGAGAGUGAAAAUGGUUUACUAUG